CGCAGAACCUUACCAGCCCUUGACAUACCGGUCGCGGACACAGAGAUGUGUCUUUCAGUUCGGCUGGACCGGAUACAGGUGCUGCAUGGCUGUCGUCAGCUCGUGUCGUGAGAUGUUGGGUUAAGUCCCGCAACGAGCGCAACCCUCGCCUUAGUUGCCAGCAUUUAGUUGGGCACUCUAAGGGGACUGCCGGUGAUAAGCCGAGAAGAAGGUGGGGAUGACGUCAAGUCCUCAUGGCCCUUACGGGCUGGGCUACACACGUGCUACAAUGGUGGUGACAGUGGGCAGCGAGCACGCGAGUGUGAGCUAAUCUCCAAAAGCCAUCUCAGUUCGGAUUGCACUCUGCAACUCGACUCCAUGAAGUUGGAAUCGCUAGUAAUCGUGGAUCAGCAUGCCACGGUGAAUACGUUCCCGGGCCUU
rnacentral:rRNA from 1 species